UCGAAAUCAACCAGCUGCUUGGUGAUCGGAACGGCGCGGCUCGUCGGGCGGUGGUCUGACCCGCCGCAGGUCAUUCGGCUCCGCCAAUCAGCGACCAGGGGCGCCGGCCGCCGGGUGCUGGAUCGGUCCAGGACCCCUGCGCCCGGCCGCAGUCGCUCCCGAUCUUCGUCCGCGAACAGUUCACGUCCGGACGCCUGGUUUCUGGUCGCGCCAUCAGCAUCAACGAGAUGCCGAGAGGGAGAGGGCGACGUCCAACCGCGUCGGGCGGAAGGACGAGAUCGGCAUUAAGAGCCAGCCGGGUUGCUGCAACAGCAAGCUCGCCUUCGGCCUCUUCUUCGGCGGGAACGGCUCAAGGGGCAGACAGCGGGACGGUGUCGAGGGAGGAAAUAUCGGCACUGAUCAAUGUCGCCGUUCGGGAGGCGGUCGGCGCCGCCACCGAGGGACUACGAGAUGUCGAGAGGAAUGGAAAAUGCAUGCCUGAUAAGACCUUAUUAGGCGAUUUUUCCAUCGAUCGAAAUCAACCAGCUGCUUGGUGAUCGGAACGGCGCGGCUCGUCGGGCGGUGGUCUGACCCGCCGCAGGUCAUUCGGCUCCGCCAAUCAGCGACCAGGGGCGCCGGCCGCCGGGUGCUGGAUCGGUCCAGGACCCCUGCGCCCGGCCGCAGUCGCUCCCGAUCUUCGUCCGCGAACACCCCCCCCCCCGGCCCACUAAUCAGGCGCUGGCGGGCAUUCGAUUUUUUUUUUUACACCUCGUUAUCAUGUACGUGAAAACUGGGUGCGGUGGUGGUGGCACCGUUUUUUCCCGCUAGAAGUGAUGGGACGCAACGGUUAGUGGAUGUAUUCGGCAGGGUUGUGUGUAUAUGUGAAAGA
rnacentral:misc_RNA from 1 species